ACAACUAUCCAAAUGCACCCAUGACAUUGACCAGCACGCUGGUUUUGCAGUAUAUGUGUAUCCGUGUCUAGCAACACGCAAGUCGCACUUUCACUUUUCCGUCUUCUAUUUUCUUCUUCUUCCCUAGGUAAAGUGGGCAGCUCAUCUAAACCCUAAUUAACAGUGUAAACCUUUCAGCCAUCAAAUCGGAGCCCUAAACCUUAAUAAACCCUACAUCAAACAAGGAAUUGAAGAUGAGUAGAUAGAUCGUUUCAAAUGAGUUAUUAUUGGUUGAUGAUAAAGAAACAUAUACAAGAUAUGGAAGAAGAAGAAGGUGUUGGAAGAAAUUUUUUGAGUUAUAAAUCAAAGAUGUUGUUUCUAAAGAUCCAGAAGAGCAAAAAGAAGAAAAGGAAGAAGAAACAAAAGGGUUUAUUCUGUAUUCAUCUUCGGUCCGGGCGGAAUCGGAAAAUGAUACAUGCUCUUACACUAGUUGACAGAUCAGAACGACGUCGACUGGAUCCAGUAUGCUAGAGCACCCCCUUUUCUGGGAGAUCCUUGGAUCUCUUGUGUGAGGGGGGUUUUGGUUUCUUUUAUGUAUGUUCUUUUGAGAGUUGAAGCCACCAAAAAACCAAGCACACAAUUGGUAGUAAAAGCUCCCCUCAAUGAAAAGCUGAAAUGACAGAAGCUCAUUUGGGACGGAUGCAAGUUGAAUUGGCGAAUGUUGGUAAUUGGUAUUGUAAUAUUACCACAUUUGCUUAGACGGCUAUGACAGGCCAUACCACACUAAAGAAUAUUGUGUUAGUAUCUUACUAAAGCAGAUUCUCAUUACAUUCAACGGUGGAAGCCAGUAAUCGAAAACCUGAAUCUUAAAAGGAAAGUCACUACAAAGACUCUGAAAGUGAGUCACUCUCAAAUGUGAGGAUGGAAGGGCGAUUCAUGGAAGAGCGUUUUGUUGAAGGAUUCCUGGUACUUUCCAAUCGCAUUAUCAAGACUAGAAGCUCCCAAAAAAUCAAGCACGCAAUUGGCAGAUUCCCUCAAAGCAAAGCUGAAAUGGCUCAAAGAAUGGAGGGAAUGCGCCAACUGGAAGUGAUGUAUACAUUGAAACCCAUGCAAAUUAAGACUGUAGAAAAGCUUUGCAGCCAAUAUAUGAAGGAUACGUAGCAAGUAAUAAUGGUUUGAAAAUAUGAGUAGUAAAGUUGAAUUCCUUACUCAUAAGAGAUCAUGUCCUUUAACCAAAACAAAUCUGAUAUACAUAGGCUCAAAUGAGGGAACAAGCUCUAGUUAGUUAAGUUCAUCCACCUUUUGACAAGGAAGAUUCCAAGGCAUCUGCUCAAUAUCCUGAAAGUGGAUGCUUGUCGAAGGGUGUUUGCGGUGGAGGGAGGUAUUAAAAAAGCAGUAUUCUGAGUGAUUUGUCUGUUUUUCACUGUCCACUUGUAUGCUGGUAGAAUAAAGCUCCAAGCAGGAUUUUACUGGCUUCUGCCCUCUUUGACGCAGAAGGAAAAGCUCUCCAUGCAGUUGCAGUGGUUACAGAAGGCAAAACAUUCUUUUGUUAUUCAUCAAAUGAAUGUAAAAUUCUGGUUUUUGAAACAAUUGUGCAAGCCGUGGAAUAUGGUUGUCUUGCUGGUGUACAAUAUCUAACAAGUCAGCAUAUUAAAAUUGCAUAUAUAUAUAUAUAUAUAUAUAUAUUACUAUUCGUUAUUGGUAGGUUCAUUUAUUCUUCCAAUAACUGUGAAUUGUAAUUAGGGUGCAUAGAAGAAACCUUUGAAAUUGCGUAAAUGGAUAAGUUAGGGCUGAAGCUUUCAUCUCUUAAUCUAUAUCUCCUUUAGCUCAAUUUAUAUGUAUUUGAGAAAAAAAAUCAACCGUCUCCGUGUCCGGCUAAAUUUCUCUGGCUUACCGGCCAUGUAGCCCCAAUUGGGGCAACUGAAUUCUUCUGUAGUAUCUCUGUCUCUUUCCAAGGACGAUUUAUCUUUCUGGUCAAUGGUCUUCUUGUAGAUGCCUGCUUAACACCAUGGGUUUUCAUUAUUCCAUCAACAAUCAAACUUCAGGGGCUUGUUUUUAUCGAGGUUAGUCUUCAAUCUUUCUUCCGUUACCAGGGGAUUUAUCCAAAACUAAUUUCUAUAUAGUUUGCUUCUUUGCUACAAUUUGAAAUUUGUUUUCAUUCUUUCCUUGUCUCCUUUUCGUGACUCUCACCUGUUUGUAUUAUUGUCUCUUAAACCUUGCACCCAAUCGUUCUUAAUUGCCUUUCUUAAUUUUAUGCAUAUGUUUUUUUUUCAAAUUUACUUUUCGUAUUGGCUGUCGCUGAUCUUUAUGAAUUUAUAUGGGUCGACGUCCUUGCGUUUUACACCACCGUUUUUAACUAUUUUGGUGAUGUGAAAAAUAUUAUAACCCCCUGCUAUAUGGGUUCAACAUAUAGAAACCCCACAAAAUGGAUUCUCCACUAUCAAUUCCAUUCUUUCAGAUUUUGAUAUUUAUAGGCCCAUUACUUUCAAUUUUGGGACCAGAUUUUGAAAUUUUACCGGAAGCUGACGUCAUCAGAAAAUAACAAAUACCAAGACUGUCCUUUAGUAUUUAUACCUAAUAAAACUAUUUAUAGACUUCAGUUUCAUUUUCUUUUUCACUCUCUCUCUCAUCUGUUUUUUCAUUCUCUCUCGGCCAAAGAAACAUGGCGGAGAACACACAUUUUCUAACCGAUUUUUGCAAUGAAAAUCGAUUUCAAAACCUAAAUCUAAGGUUUACAAACAAAGAUCUUGAUUAUCUAAACCUAAAUUCAACAUCAUCAUCACUUGUUCUAGGGAGAUUCGGUGAAAAUCAAUUGAAAAGAAGUGAUAAUCAUUAUCAACAAAUAGAUCUGUAGGUUGCACGCAGAAGAAGAAUAACAUGGAUGAAAUAGUGAGAUUCACCAUCAAAUCGAAAGAAAUAGAAUUCCUCUUUGAGAUACGUUUAUGAGGAUGGGGAGAUUAUGAAGAUGGUUGAAAACAGUAAGAGAAGAAACGAGGAAGUUAUAAAUGAAGAAUACAUAGUCAAUCUUCACAAACGCCUUCUUGGAUGGUAACUACUCAAUACAUACCUUGUUAUUAUAGAAUUUCUUUGUUGUUUGAAUUGAAUAUACUUGACUGCUGCAAAAAAUAUUACGUCUUAUAUCAUCAUUGUGUGUAUGAGGUCAAAGUGUUGUUGGUUUUCAUUUAUGUUUGAAGUUACUACAAAAAUGCUACUUAAUAUCAUUUUGCAUCAUGUGAUUCACGGUUUGAUUGUGAAACUGAGUUAGUGAUUCUACUCCGGUUGUUACUCUGAAUGAAGUUAGUCAACCUGCGAAAAGGAGGUAGAGAUUUGUUUAGAAUGUUUAAAGAAUUGAAGCAGUCGGUUACAAAUGAUUAGGGAGGUUCGAAACCUCCUGUGGUUGAAGAAUAUUAGGAGUUUCUGGAGAAGAAAGAAAUGCUUCGUGAUUUCGAACAACAACUGAGCAAUGUAUCUAAGUAUAUCAACAGUUGAAGUAUCAGUCAAGUUAAAUGGUAGCUCUUGUAAUCAGUACCAUCCUUCGCGUGGUCUCCGUCAAGGGGACCCUUUGUCCCCUUAUUUAUUUAUCAUUGCCAUGGAAUACUUAUCCAGGUCGCUCUUCACAGCCCAACAACAGAAUUCAGUUAGGGGUAUUAAAGUGGAGAAAGAAGCUCCUCCAAUCAAUCAUCUGCUUUUUGCAGAUGAUUGUUUACUUUUCUUCCAAGCUGAUGAAAAAAA